AACGCUGGCGGCAUGCCUAACACAUGCAAGUCGAACGGAGUUUAGAAGCUUGCUUUAAACUUAGUGGCGGACGGGUGAGUAACGCGUGAGUAACCUGCCUCUCAGUGGGGAAUAAUGUACUGAAAAGGACACUAAUACCGCAUAAUGUAUCGAAGCCGCAUGACUUUGGUACCAAAGAUUUAUCGCUGAGAGAUGGACUCGCGUCCGAUUAGCCAGUUGGCGGGGUAACGGCCCACCAAAGCGACGAUCGGUAGCCGGACUGAGAGGUUGAACGGCCACAUUGGGACUGAGACACGGCCCAGACUCCUACGGGAGGCAGCAGUGGGGGAUAUUGCGCAAUGGGGGAAACCCUGACGCAAGCAAUGCCGCGUGGAGGAUGAAGGUCUUCGGAUUGUAAACUCCUUUUGUCAGGGACGAAAAUGACGGUACCUGACGAAUAAGCUCCGGCUAACUACGUGCCAGCAGCUGC
rnacentral:rRNA from 1 species